CACACACACACACACACACACACACACACACACACACACACACACACACACACACACACAGCAACAUAGAAUUACCCUGUCUUAGCCCGGGCUGGCUAUACAUAGUAUAAAGACAUUAUCCCAUUAUUACGCUCACAGACAGACUGCUGUGAUUCAGAGAAUCUUUCUCCUCUGAGGGAAAUGUUGGAUGUUGAAAGAGUGAACAUGUUACAGUCAUAUCACCAGUGUGCUUUUGACCAAUUGUGAUUCACGUAGCCGAGUAGCGUUGAGGAGACAGAAGAAUAGUGCCAUGGAUAGGUUGAUAACAGGAAUGUGUUUAGUGUCUGUGAUCCUGUAAUUAUACACAGCCAUGUUCAGUAGGACACACCCAUGGUUGAACUGGGAAUUGAAAGGUGGGGGAGCCCUAUUUGGAGGGGUUUAGGGUAAGGGUUGAGCAAAGGUUGAACAUAAGGCUAGGUUAGGGUUAUGCAAAGACUAGGUUUGGGGUUAGUAUUUGUAUCCUACUCAUUUUCGGAACCAAUACGAUGCUGGAGUUUGGCUCCUACCUGGCUUUCUUUUUGACUCAAGGUUUGCUCAGACUGACAUGUGAGCCCGGGAGAGCGGGAGGAGGAAGAGGGAGUCUUUGUCAGUCUUUCCAAAACGAGCUCUGGGCUCCUCUGGCUGGCCUGACUCUGGCUCCGCUCUGACAAGACUCCCAGCUGCAGCGUAGCCAAGAUGUCGGCUUGAAGGCCAAUCAACCCAACCCCAGCCCUGAGAGAGACGAGGGCUCAGGUUCAACUCACACGUGGACUCUCCAUAGAGGUGUAAGAGUCGUGGCUGAACGACGACAUUAUCAACAUACAGCUGGCUGGGUAAACGCUGUGUCGGCAGGAUUGAACAGGGCGCCUGGUAAGACAAGGGGCGGCGGACUAUGAAUAUAUGUAAACAACAGCUGGUGCAUGAUAUCUAAGGAAGUCUUGAGGUUUUGCUUGCCUGAGGUAAAGUAUCUCGUGAUAAGUUGUGAACCACACUAUUUACCUAGAGAGUUUUCAUCUGUAAGACUGAAAAGAUAUGGCAUCUGUCCUCAGAUCCUCAAAAAGUUCUACAGCUGCACCAUCGAGAGCAUCCUGACUGGUUGCAUUACUGCCUGGUAUGGCAACUGCUCUGCCUCCGACCGCAAGGCACUACAGA